CAUGGUGCAGUGUUUACAUUUGGCUCCGGUCAACACGGACAGCUCGGUCACAACUCACUACGCAACGAACUGCGUCCUCGACUUGUUGCGGAGCUCUGGGGGGCAAAGGUCACCAAGAUUGCAUGUGGAAGGAAUCACACUUUAGUGCUGACCGAAUCCAAGAGGGUCUAUUCCUUUGGUUGUGAGGAUCAAGGGCAGCUGGGACAUCGAGAGGAGAGUAAUCCAUCUGUGCCACUGCCUGUUCGACUGCCACAGGACACUGGUGAGCCCAAAAUCAGAAACAUCUUCGCAGAAGAUAACUGUUCAUUUGCAAGAUGCUUGUCUGAUGAGGGCAUUCACAAGGGUUCAAAGAGUAACUGUGGCAUUGCAUCACAACACUGUCUUGAUGACAUGGUUGACAAAUGGAUCUCUGAAUGUGAUUCAAAGCCAUGGAAAAAGAAAAAACAGGAAAUCUACAGGGCAUUUUCCUCUGCAUCCUGUCUGAAUAAAAGCUUCCUUGAGCAAAGCGGUGAUAAACAUUUCCAAACUUCACCAAAGUACCACGGCUUAAACCUGAACCAUGCACAGCUUGCUUUCAAGAAACUGUUAACUAAGGAAAGUGCUCGGGCAAAGAUCGAGGCUGCUGUGCUACACUUGCUCUCCUUCCCUUCGACCAGAAACCAGUUGGAGUGGAGGGGUUGA